GACGAACGCUGGCGGCGUGCUUAACACAUGCAAGUCGAACGGAAAGGCCCUGCAUUUGUGUUUUGCUCGAGUGGCGAACGGGUGAGUAACACGUGAGUAACCUGCCCUUGACUUUGGGAUAACUUCAGGACACUUGGUCUCCUACCGGAUAGGAGCUCCUGCUGCAUGUCGGGGGUUGGAAAGUCUCGGCGGUUGGGGAUGGACUCGCGGCUUAUCAGCUUGUUGGUGGGGUAGUGGCUUACCAAGGCUUUGACGGGUAGCCGGCCUGAGAGGGUGACCGGCCACAUUGGGACUGAGAUACGGCCCAGACUCCUACGGGAGGCAGCAGUGGGGAAUAUUGCACAAUGGGCGGAAGCCUGAUGCAGCAACGACGCGUGCGGGAUGACGGCCUUCGGGUUGUAAACCGCUUUCGCCUGUGACGAAGAGUGAGUGACGGUAAUGGGUAAAGAAGCACCGGCUAACUACGUG
rnacentral:rRNA from 1 species